rnacentral:rRNA from 1 species
GACGUAGGAUGCAAGCGUUGUCCGGAUUUAUUGGGCGUAAAGAGUUCGUAGGUGGUACGUUAAGUCUGAUGUUAAAGACUGGGGCUCAACCCUGGAAGUGCAUUGGAUACUGGCGGACUUGAGUGUGGUAGAGGCAAUCGGAAUUCCAGGUGUAGCGGUGAAAUGCGUAGAUAUCUGGAAGAACACCGGUGGCGCAAGCGGAUUGCUGGGCCAUAACUGACACUGAGGAACGAAAGCUAGGGGAGCGAAUGGG